AACAGGAGGAAAUAAAAAGGUGUGUUUUGCUGAUGAGAAAUAAAGAAACUGACUAUCGACCACGUUCAGAUAUCAGUUUUACUGUGGUGUUGAGGGCAGCAGGUAGUCUAGUGGUUAGAGCAUUGGGCCAGUACUCUGCUGUUAGGGGCAGCAGGUAGUCUAGUGGUUAGAGCAUUGGGCCAGUAUUCUGCUAUUAGGGGCGGCAGGUAGUCUAGUGGUUAGAGCAUUGGGCCAGUACUCUACUGUUAGGGGCAGCAGGUAGCCUAGUGGUUAGAGCAUUGGGCCAGUACUCUGCUGUUAGGGGCAGCAGGUAGCCUAGUGGUUAGAGCAUUGGGCCAGUACUCUGCUGUUAAGGGGCAGCAGGUAGUCUAGUGGUUAGAGCAUUGGGCCAGUACUCUACUGUUAGGGGCAGCAGGUAGCCUAGUGGUUAGAGCAUUGGGCCAGUACUCUGCUGUUAGGGGCAGCAGGUAGCCUAGUGGUUAGAGCAUUGGGCCAGUACUCUGCUGUUAGGGGCAGCAGGUAGCCUAGUGGUUAGAGCAUUGGGCCAGUACUCUACUGUUAGGGGCAGCAGGUAGCCUAGUGGUUAGAGCAUUGGGCCAGUACUCUACUGUUAGGGGUAGCAGGUAGCUUAGUGGUUAGAGCAUUGGGCCAGUACUCUGCUGUUAGGGGCAGCCGGUAGC